rnacentral:tRNA from 1 species
GCAGCUCAGAGGUGGAGCUUUUGCCUGGUAUGCACAAGACCCUGGGUUUGAUCCCCAGUGCC